rnacentral:lncRNA from 1 species
UUUGAUACAAAUUAAAAUUCCUGGUGCUUUACACGUGAGUAAGCAGUGGAGAUUGCCCUGGAUAUACAUCGUUUAAUUGCCAAGCAACAUUGACUUAAGAAUUAUGUGAAAACCAGGUUCUAGUUCCAAUCAGGAUAUACGGUGUGAACGUGCUAUAUAUAACCCCUGGUUGCGAAAAAACUGAUUAGAACAGAAGCCAAGUAAUGCUUAAUUCCUGAAAGGUUCUGUAAUCCCUGAAUCAACUAAUAGUACUAAAAACUCUCAGGGUCUAUUUAGAGCAAUGUUAUGAACUCGAUGUUCGUAGAUUUUUCCAUUCUUAUCAAGCUCAUAUUCUGAGGCACACAUUGGCCUCAGCUCUCUCUAGGAACUCUUAGGAUGCCAUGACCACUCCAACGAACCGUUAUCAUGUUCUCAACAGCCAACAGGAUGCCACACAUUUAUGACUUGUAGCUUGCAAUGCCAACAAAUUGUUGAGUAGAUCAUUGAGUUGCAAUUUAAGAAACUUAAUGAUAAUUUCAUUCUAGACAAUCUUUUCAAAACAAUACCCUAAUGACAUUUAGUAAGGUAGAUUAGACAGUAUUGAAC